CGAUGGUUGUCGUCAGCUCGUGUCGUGAGAUGUUGGGUUAAGUCCCGCAACGAGCGCAACCCCUAUUGUUAGUUGCCAUCAUUCAGUUGGGCACUCUAGCGAGACUGCCGGUAAUAAACCGGAGGAAGGUGGGGAUGACGUCAAAUCAUCAUGCCCCUUAUGACCUGGGCUACACACGUGCUACAAUGGUUGGUACAACGAGUUGCGAGUCGGUGACGGCGAGCUAAUCUCUUAAAGCCAAUCUCAGUUCGGAUUGUAGGCUGCAACUCGCCUACAUGAAGUCGGAAUCGCUAGUAAUCGCGGAUCAGCACGCCGCGGUGAAUACGUUCCCGGGCCUU
rnacentral:rRNA from 1 species